rnacentral:RNase_P_RNA from 1 species
GGAGCCGGCCAGACAGUCGCGUCAUCCUUUCUAAGGGUGCCGAGGAAAGUCCGGGCUCCACAGGGCAAGGUGCCAGGUAACGCCUGGGCGGCGCAAGCCGACGGAAAGUGCAACAGAAAGAUACCGCCGAACGCUCCUGCCGCUGCGGGUACUUGCCGGACGAAUGUCCGGCCAAGUUUUCCGCACAACCGCAAGGUUGAGGCAGGAGGCGUGGCAAGGGUGAAAUGGUGCGGUAAGAGCGCACCGCGAGUCUGGCAACAGACCGGUACGGCAAACCCCACCUGGAGCAAGACCAAAUAGGGAUCCAUUGGCGUGGCCCGCGCUGGAUCCGGGUAGGUUGCUUGAGCGUCACGGUGACGUGGCGCCUAGAGGAAUGACUGUCCACGACAGAACCCGGCUUAUCGGCCGGCUCCGCCU